UGUACGCUAUUACGGACCGAGUGAAUACUCACAGCUAUCAGAUGCCAUCUCUUGUGGAUUAUUGCGGGUAUUAUUGCCUUUCCGGUCUUUGAUUCUGCUGCACCCAUGCAUUGCCGUGCAAUGCUGGAGCUUGUGACCAUGGAGGAGAAACAGGAUUUUGAUUUAGAGACGGAAAAAGGUUUCCAAGCUUACUCCACGGAAAACUUGUAAGAGCUUGAGAAUGUUUUCGAAAGAAGAAUUACUCGGGAACGAGGUUCUAAAGUUAGUAAAAACAAUGAUAAAAUUGAACCUGCUCCAGAUCCUGAUGGUAAUAUAUUCAUCAUAUGUGCUGAUAAUAAACGACGAAAGGUAUCUGAAGUGUGGAAAUGGUUGGAUAAGGUUAUAGAAGAAAAUUGUGCAGUAUGGGCCAUAUAUAAAGGAUGCAAAAACAAGUAUACAGGGGAUAGCAAGAAGGAAACUUCAAAUCUACACAAACACUUAAACGUUAUUCAAAAAAUAGACGGAGAGAUGCAAAAACAAAUAUGUUUGUCCAAUGGCGAAGAUAUUGAAGUUAUCUAGCAUCACCUACUAAGGACACCACUUGUCUGACAUCACAUGAUCCAGAUUCUGAUGAUAAGUUCCUGGGAUUCCGUGAGUGGCAUAAGCAGAAAGAUGAUGGCGAUGUGGUUGCUUCACAAAAACUUGAUCUUAAUCGGUAUUUAGGAGAGCCUCUGGAAAACCGGGAUAAGGUUUCAGAUGUACUAGCUUGGUGGCGAGUCAAUACUCCAAGAUUUCCAGCACUUGGUAAAAUGGCUCGUGAUUUCUUAGCAAUUCCAAUAUCAGCUAUUCUAUCGAAGUCUGCUAUCAGCGGUGCAGUUGCAUUCAAUGGUUUCAGGCCAGAGAUCAUAUAGAUGCUUUAAUUUGCGGACAGGACUGGUUGGAAAGCCCUGAAAACAAUUGAGUUCUUCACUUUCUAGAGACAGGAGCAAGGACGGGAUUUCUGGUUCUUCUCUGGUCUCCUUAAAUGUGAGAUCUGACUCACUUGUGAAGCAAAUGUCUAAAUAUCUAGUUGGUCCGUUUACAGUGAGCAAACCCACCAGUCCAGAGGACUUGAAGUUAAUCCAAUACGUCUUCGAUUCCUCACUAAAUGGUAGGUCAGAAUUUUUUCUAAGAGUUCUUUUUUGCUUAGCUGAACGAUUUUAAGUUCACCUGUUCUAUACUUGUUUCUGCUAGUGAGGUUGUUGUUCAAUGCAAUAAUUAUUAUUUAACUCGGCGGGAGUUAUGCCCCAUGAGACCAUAGACCUGGAUUGAUGAUAACGUCCUUUCUACA